ACAGAAACUUACAGAUUCAACAGAGUUCGAAACACAAACCAGAAACAUUUCCUUUAUUCAACAUGCUGUUGUUGGACUAUUGGACGUUUUCUCUGCUUCUUUUCAUUCUCACAGGUGUCAGCCAUGAACAACUCACUGCAGUCAAAACUGAAGAGUCCAGUUUAGAAGGAACCACUGUUACUCUGUCCUACAACUACCCUGAACUGUCAAGUAGUGAUUACUUCUUCUGGUAUCGACAACAUCCAGGAAAACCUCCAGAGUUCCUGAUAUCUCACCUUGGUUCAGGACAAGUAGCAACUGUUCAAGACCCUCGACUGAAGAUUAAAGUGGAGCAAAAGCAAAUCACUAUGAACAUCUCCUCUGCUGCAGUGACAGACUCUGCUGUGUACUACUGUGCUCUGAGGCCCACAGUGACAGGAAACACCAAAACUCUGAACAAAAACCUUUGGAGCAAAGACAACACAAUACUCCAAUCUACAGAUGAUGCAGUAUCCCUGGCUCUGCAUCUGGCCCUGACACACCAACACAUGGACAGUGACGUUAGAAUGUUGUUCACAGACUUCAGCUCAGCAUUCAACACCAUCAUCCCACAGCAGCUCAUGGUAAAGCUCAGCCUUCUAGGCCUCAACACCUCCUCCUGGAACUGGCUGCUGGACUUCCCAACACAAAGGUUGUAA